GCGCGCUGAAGACCCCUUCGGCUGCUGGGCCAACGCCCCCACCCUUGGUCACGUACUCCUGCCGCCGAGCGGUUCGCGGGAGGUGGCCUCGGGGGUCGUAGCUACUCACCGGCGGGGCGCUCCGAGUCCAUCUGCCCCGUAGCCCGGCAGCCGGGGCGGGAGGGCUGCGAGCCCGGGGCGCGGUCCGCCUGAGGCCUGAGACCCGGGGCCGCCUGCGCUCAGGGCCGCGGUGCCGGCCGCGCGGGAGCCUGGCGGGGACGGCGCGGUCAGUGUUCGGCUCCUCCGCAGUGACUCACCAGCGUCCUGAAGCUUUUGAUCACCAUUGGCUGGGAAGGAAAAACAGAAUCAGCUGUUCCCUGCGAAAGGUAUCAUAUGUUUCUUACAAAGUGGAGGUUUGUGGCAGCCCUGCAUGGAGCAAGUCUGUCAGCACCAUCUUUCUAACAGUAUGUGCUCACUUCAUGUCUCUCUCACAUUUUGGUAAUUCUUGGAAUGUUUCCGUUAUUAAAUCAGUUAUAGUGAUCUGUGAUUAGUGAUCUUUGAUAUUACUGUCAUAAUUGCUUGGGGGGCACCAUGAACCACCCCUAUAUAAGACAGCAAACUGAGUCGAUAAAUGUUUUAUGUGUUCUGACCACUGCACUGACCAGCUGCCUCCCUAUCUCUCUCCUUCUGCUCAGACCUCCCUAUCCUUGAGACACAGCAAUACUGAAAUUAGGGGCCAGGCAUGGUGGUGGCUCAUGCCUGUAGUCCCAGCUACUUGGGAGACUGAAGCAGGAGGAUUGCUUGAG
rnacentral:lncRNA from 1 species